GCGCGAGUGGCGAAAUGGCAGACGCGCUAGCCUCAGGAGCUAGUGCCCGCAAGGGCGUGGAAGUUCGAGUCUUCUCUCGCGCAUCA
rnacentral:tRNA from 1 species